AUACUUACCUGGCAGGGGAGAUACCAUGAUCACGAAGGUGGUUUUCCCAGGGUGAGGCUUAUUCAUUGCACUCCGAUGUACUGACCCCCUGCGAUUUCCCCAAAUGUAGGAAACGCAGGAUGGGAAUGGGGGGUGGAGGGAGGACAACUUUGGGGAUGGGAAUUCCUC